ACACUGACGUCGCGACGCAUAUCAAUAAGCGGAGGAAAAGAAACUAACAAGGAUUCCCUUAGUAACGGCGAGUGAAGCGGGAAGAGCUCAAAUUUGAAAUCUUCAAGGUUCUACCUUGACGAAUUGUAGUUUAAAGAAGUGUUUUCUGUUAGUGAAGUUGGUCAAAAGUUCUUUGGAAUAGGACAUCAUAGAGGGUGAGAAUCCCGUAUUUGGUCAUUCCUUCUAGCUUUGUGAUACACUUUCAAAGAGUCGGAUUGUUUGGGAAUGCAGUCCAAAAUGGGUGGUAAAUUUCAUCUAAAGCUAAAUAUUGGCGAGAGACCGAUAGCGAACAAGUACCGUGAGGGAAAGAUGAAAAGAACUUUGAAAAGAGAGUUAAACAGCUACGUGAAAUUGUCAAAAGGGAAGCGUUUGACACCAGUGUUGUUUUUCCGAAAAUCAAUUACGAAUGGCUUGAUUUUGUGUUGUAUUGACCUUAUCAGCUUUCUUCACUUUCUUCGAGUCUUUCUUAAUGCACUUUUCGGUUAACAAGUCAACAUCAAUUUCUUUUGUUGUAAAAGAGUAUUCGGAAGGUGGCUUUCUUUUCGGAGAAAGUGUUUAUAGCCCUAUACUUCUACAAUCGGAGAGACUUGAGGUCUGCAGCGUAGAUCCUUCGGGGUUAGAUACACUUGUGCUAAGUUAUAGCUUUUCAUAGACAACUUGUUGACUAUGUUUAGUCUUGUAGCUUACUCGCUUGUGCUAUUUUACCUACGCUUAGGAUGUUGAGUCGUAGAGCACGCAG
rnacentral:rRNA from 1 species